rnacentral:rRNA from 1 species
ACGCACGCUGGCGGCGUGCCUCAUACAUGCAAGUUGAGCGAUGAAGAUUGGUGCUUGCACCAAUUUGAAGAGCAGCGAACGGGUGAGUAACGCGUGGGGAAUCUGCCUUUGAGCGGGGGACAACAUUUGGAAACGAAUGCUAAUACCGCAUAACAACUUUAAACAUAAGUUUUAAGUUUGAAAGAUGCAAUUGCAUCACUCAAAGAUGAUCCCGCGUUGUAUUAGCUAGUUGGUGAGGUAAAGGCUCACCAAGGCGAUGAUACAUAGCCGACCUGAGAGGGGGAUCGGCCACAUUGGGACUGAGACACGGCCCAAACUCCUACGGGAGGCAGCAGUAGGGAAUCUUCGGCAAUGGACGAAAGUCUGACCGAGCAACGCCGCGUGAGUGAAGAAGGUUUUCGGAUCGUAAAACUCUGUUGGUAGAGAAGAACGUUGGUGAGAGUGGAAAGCUCAUCAAGUGACGGUAACUACCCAGAAAGGGACGGCUAACUACGUG